rnacentral:rRNA from 1 species
UACAGAGGGUGCAAGCGUUGUUCGGAAUUAUUGGGCGUAAAGGGAGUGUAGGCGGUUAGUUAAGUCUUCUGUGAAAUCCCCGGGCUCAACCUGGGAACUGCAUUCAGAACUGUCGAGCUAGAGUAUGGUAGAGGGUGGUGGAAUUUCCUGUGUAGCGGUGAAAUGCGUAGAUAUAGGAAGGAACACCAGUGGCGAAGGCGACCACCUGGACUGAUACUGACACUGAGGUGCGAAAGCGUGGGGAGCAAACAGG